UAAUCUCACAUAAAAUCGUUAUUAACGAAUACUUAACAGCUCGGCACAUGUUAUCCAACGUAUACUGCAGUGAAGUCUCCAUUGCUAAUAUAUAUUGUCUUAUUAAAAUCUAAGUAAGGAUUGAAUAUUUAAAUAUCAUUACUUUGAUUGAGUCAAAACACAAUGUAAUGGAAGCUAAUGAUUAAUAAUUGAGCUAAGAUAUGUGAUUUUAGUGCCCUUUCAAUCUUGAGCUCUCCUACCAAGGUAUCCAUAGUUAAUAUUGUACAAGCAAUUUCAUUAUUGUGCCACUAGAUCGAAUAGAGAUUAUACGAAUAUAACAAAACUUAACGUAAGUUG